rnacentral:lncRNA from 1 species
CAUUUCAAGUAUAGAAACGACCAAAAAGCAGAGCAUACAGACAGAGAUCACGAGAGGACCGUCUUGAGCUUGUAGUUCCUGGCGAACGCGCUGUACACGAAGAAGUUGAUGAUGGAGAUGGCGGCCAUGAUCCAGAAGAAGUAGUCGAGGUGCCCCUCGUUGAGGUCGUCGGCGAUCCACCCCGGGCUGUCGGCCGUCGCCGUGAGCAGCGCGAUCACGGCGUAUAUGAAGGAGCUCAGGUAGCUUCCCAGCGCGAUGGUCAGCAGCGCCAGCGAGGUGCACAUGCUCUUCAUGGUGUCUGGCGCCUCGUUGUAGAAGAACUCCAGCUGCGCGAUGUAGCAGAAGACCUCCCCGCCGGCCAGGAAGAAGUACUGCGGCAGCUGCCACGCGAUGCUGAUCUGCUCGCCGCGCGCCGCGCUGCCGAGCCGGCUCGUCUCCACCACCGCCGCGAACGCCAUGGAGAUCGCCAUCAGGACGCGCCCGGCGCCCAUCCGCUGCAGCUGCGACGGCUCCCC